UUAUGUUAAAAGAAAAAAACUUUGAAUUUCUUUACUUAUGUCAUUUUACAUAAAAAAAUAAACUUAUACAUAUAUUAUAUAUUCUAUUUUGAUAUUCAUAAAAUAUAUCCUGUCACAAUUGAACAAAGUUUACAUUGGGCAGUUAAUAAUAACAGAAUAAAAGGAUCUGGAGGCCCGGAAAUAAUUACUCCGUGGGCCGGAUCCAGAUCUUGACCUUAACACGUACUCUGGAGCCACAUGUAGCAGACCCCUGUAUCCGCUUAUAGCACCUUACAACCCUAAGCUAACAUUAGCGUUGGGAAAAAAUAUGGCGGACUAGGAAAAUGAUUAAUGGAUCUGUUUGUCUGCAAGUGGAGCGGAGAAGGAAGACUUUGAGAGUUGCUGGAUCCCAAAUCUGCGCUUUUUCAAGCCGCUGAUUUUCAUUCACUCCUCGUCCAACAGGAUAUGAAUAAAUACUCAAAAAUACACUUUUAGUCUUAAAUUAUUUUUUAUAUUUACUAUAUUGUGAGUAAAAUGCUACAAAAUACCCCAAAUUUUCCUCUGAGUGGGAAUUUAAAGCAUUUUAAAAUUGUUUGGUGACACCUUAUUUAUUUUUGCUGGCCAAAAGCUGUCAGUAAAAGGAACAUUUCUGUCAUACUUUGAGAGGACCGGCACCUGCUGCCUGUUAGGGAUCAGUUUUAGUGGCAUUUAGAAAUACGGGUGAAGGUAACAUUCCAGUUUGUCAAACUAAAUCCUUGGCAGAAACUGCUUUGCUUUCAGCCUCUCCUGACUGUUUGCCCCUCGCUGCUGCAGAUCCUCGAGACGGUGCUGUUUGCUGAUGGUCUGCUGCUCCUCUGCAUUUGAAAAGGUGCCCUGUCACCAGCUUUGUGACAGCUCUCACUUCACUUACCUCAAAGACUCUCAUCCCCAGGAGAAUUCAGGAGGGGGGCGCUUUGCCAGAGAACAAAAAAACAAGCUGGAAUGUCUUUAAUAUCAGCAGUACAGUUGCCAAGGUAGCAGCCACUGUUGGAGUCAGGAGGCUCCCACUCUCAGUUCCCAAGGCCCUGCUUCCACCAACACACACACACAUGCCCACGUAUGAGCUCAGGGACAAACACACGCAGAGGAAGCGCCCCCAUACAUACAAGCCCCCCACCUCCCACUGUCAGCCUCGAGAAGGCACAUUCCAGAGUGAGGAGCCCGAGGCGCAUUCAACCCCGGGAUCUGAGGCCGGCACAGGGGACGGUCACGGCUCUUGUGUUCCAGGUAAAGGCCACUCAGAGUGAAAUGAGAGGGGACAGAGUCUGUUUGACGUGUGGGCCACAAGAGGACCAGUGCAGCCAAGCAAGCUCAGGACAGCCAGUUCUGAGUGCUAAGCAGGUUUAUUCUGAAAGGAGGUGUUUCAGACUUAAAAACGCUCAGGUUUGUGUGUGCGAGUUGCAGAGAGGUGUGUGUAAGCUCGCUUUAAAUAAAAGAUUAACUUGCGUGUCCCAUGAGUGUACGAGAACAUCAGCCUGAAGAAGCUGUGCAUGCGGACAGGAAGACAGGCGAGCAGGCAGCCGUGUGGGGAGCAGGAAAGACACCCAGAGGUGGCUUCUCUACCAGCUGAAGUCAGCCAGGGUGACAGACGGAGCUGAAGUGUCUACACCUGCCCACACUCGCCUGAGCCUCACGCCAACCUGGCAUCAUUGAAGCUGACAGGAGCGAGUCCACAGGAAGAGGAGAGGAUGCCCCAGACCUGUCUGUCUCACGCUCCUCUGUGAGCUUCAAGUGCUCCCACCUUGUCAGCAGGUCAGACGGAUGCUGGGCGGGAUCAAUCAGGAAAAGUAAUCCGGGACGCCUUGCGCACGCAAGUAGACACACGGACGCAUCACAGAUAUUUCCUGACAAGCGCACACACCGCUCCUCUGAUGCACUCCGGCCCGCCUGCCUCCAGUCUCAUCGAUCUGCAUCUACUUUACCAAAUGGAUUCCUCUCCUCUUCCAUCCUCCUCCUCCUCUUCUCUCUCUGUGUGACUCAGAAUAAUAAAUGUUCCAGACCGUGUGAGACGUGCAUGUAAG